rnacentral:lncRNA from 1 species
UCCGAGUGGUAAGAAACAGGAUGAUAAAUAUUAUGGUUUAGCUCCUUUAUCUCCAUUCUCUCUCCCUUUCAGAGUGUUAUAUUGCUGCUAGGGCUGAAAAGUGAUUCUACAUUUCUCAGACUUCCUCACAGCUCAGGUUUAUGUGUGAACUGAUGUGCCUCCAUACUAUUUGGAAUCCAGAGCUGAAGUCCACAUGCUGCUGCUGCUGCAGGGUCUGCAGGGGAAGCGUUUGUGGUUCUGCAACAGUGAUAGCAGGAUGGCUGUA